rnacentral:rRNA from 1 species
AAUGGGUCAGCGACUUAUAUUCUGUAGCAAGGUUAACCGAAUAGGGGAGCCGAAGGGAAACCGAGUCUUAACUGGGCGUUAAGUUGCAGGGUAUAGACCCGAAACCCGGUGAUCUAGCCAUGGGCAGGUUGAAGGUUGGGUAACACUAACUGGAGGACCGAACCGACUAAUGUUGAAAAAUUAGCGGAUGACUUGUGGCUGGGGGUGAAAGGCCAAUCAAACCGGGAGAUAGCUGGUUCUCCCCGAAAGCUAUUUAGGUAGCGCCUCGUGAAUUCAUCUCCGGGGGUAGAGCACUGUUUCGGCAAGGGGGUCAUCCCGACUUACCAACCCGAUGCAAACUGCGAAUACCGGAGAAUGUUAUCACGGGAGACACACGGCGGGUGCUAACGUCCGUCGUGAAGAGGGAAA